rnacentral:misc_RNA from 1 species
GAUGAAGAACGCAGCGAAAUGCGAUAGCUAGUGUGAAUUGCAGAAUUCAGUGAAUCAUCGAAUCUUUGAACGCACAUUGCGCCCGCCAGUAUUCUGGCGGGCAUGCCUGUUCGAGCGUCAUUACAACCCUCAGGCCCCCGGGCCUGGCGUUGGGGAUCGGCGGAGCCCCCCGUGGGCACACGCCGUCCCCCAAAUACAGUGGCGGUCCCGCCGCAGCUUCCAUCGCGUAGUAGCUAACACCUCGCGACUGGAGAGCGGCGCGGCCACGCCGUAAAACACCCAACUCUUCUGAAGUUGACCUCGAAUCAGGUAGGAAUACCCGCUGAACUUAAGCAUAUCAAUAAGCGGAGGA